GAAGAUAUGACCUUCCUGCACU
rnacentral:miRNA from 1 species